CCUGUGCAUUUGGUAACUGUCAGAAAACUUGUUUUCUAAAGCUUGUUAAAACUCGUACUAUAAAACAGGUAAAGGUAUUAGAUAUUGCAGGCAUGUGUUAAUGUUACAGUUUAUAGUAUGAUAAUUCUUCCUGUAUUUGUAAACGAAGAUAUAAAACAAGUCUACCUGAUUUGAGAUUCAGUCUUUACUUCAAAAGCAUGUAUCAUUGAUUUAGUUAGGAAUAAGAAUUUUUUAAUCUAAGUUCUUAUAAUCAUGAAUACAAAUACAACUAGCUGCUUGUUUACUCAGAUUAUAAAGUUUUAAGCAAGAUACAAAUUCAUCAUGGUACAAAAAAAUAAUUAACUGUUAGAAAUUGUUCAAAUAAGGAAACUUGCAACUUACUGGCAUUAUUUACUUUAAAUAAGGUAGCCAUGUGUAGACCUCAGGUCUAUGGAAUUGAAGAAUGAAUCAUGAUUGGUCUAAGCAAGGCCCUCUGAUUUGUAUUUGUUAAAACCUGUGACCCCAUCAUCCAACCCAAGAAAUGUUGACAGUUGCUGUCAACUAACUGUAGUGUUUGUUGAAUUGGAAUUCUUAGGCUGCUGGUGCUUGGAAAUGAGUGGAUUCUGUGCUCUUCCCACUUACCUCUCUACGCCUAACCCCCCACCCCCACAUACACACUCCUGAGAUAAUCCCAAGUCAAG
rnacentral:lncRNA from 1 species